rnacentral:rRNA from 1 species
UACGAAGGGGGCUAGCGUUGCUCGGAAUCACUGGGCGUAAAGCGCACGUAGGCGGAUUGUUAAGUCAGGGGUGAAAUCCUGGAGCUCAACUCCAGAACUGCCUUUGAUACUGGCGAUCUCGAGUCCGGGAGAGGUGAGUGGAAUUCCGAGUGUAGAGGUGAAAUUCGUAGAUAUUCGGAGGAACACCAGUGGCGAAGGCGGCUCACUGGUCCGGUACUGACGCUGAGGUGCGAAAGCGUGGGGAGCAAACAGG